UACGGGGGGGGCAAGCGUUGUUCGGAAUUACUGGGCGUAAAGGGCUCGUAGGCGGCCAACUAAGUCGGACGUGAAAUCCCUCGGCUCAACCGGGGAACUGCGUCCGAUACUGGAUGGCUUGAAUCCGGGAGAGGGAUGCGGAAUUCCAGGUGUAGCGGUGAAAUGCGUAGAUAUCUGGAGGAACACCGGUGGCGAAGGCGGCAUCCUGGACCGGCAUUGACGCUGAGGCGCGAAAGCUAGGGGAGCAAACAGG
rnacentral:rRNA from 1 species